CCGAGUUAGGGUCGCCCCCGCGCGCCCGACCUCCAACCCUUUGUCUACCUGACCUUUAAUGUUGCUUCGGCAGGCCCGCCGCAAGGCCGCCGGGGGUCCUCCGUGACCCCGGGCCCGCGCCUGUCGAUGGCCCUUAUUAAAACUCUUGUUUAAUAAACGUGUCGUCUGAGUUAACAAACAAAAUAAAUUA
rnacentral:misc_RNA from 1 species